CUUUACUGUAGCCUGGAAUUGGGUUCGGGCUUCUCUUGCGCAGUAUAGGUGGGAGGCACAGAAGUCAUCCUUGUGGGGAUGAUGGAGCCACCGGUGAGAUACCACUCUAGAGAGGCUAGAAUUCUAACUGGUUCCCGUGAAUCCGGGAACAAGACAGUUUCAGGGGGGCAGUUUGACUGGGGCGGUCGCCUCCUAAAAUGUAACGGAGGCGCGCAAAGGUUCUCUCAGAAUGGUUGGAAAUCAUUCGCAGAGUGUAAAGGCAUAAGGGAGCUUGACUGUGAGACUUACAAGUCCAACAGGGUGGAGACACGGCCUUAGUGAUCCGACGGUACUGUGUGGAAAGGCCGUCGCUCAACGGAUAAAAGUUA
rnacentral:rRNA from 1 species